rnacentral:lncRNA from 1 species
ACAGCUGGGUGGUAUGAGGGAGGAUGCUGAGUGCAGGAGGUUGUGGGGAGGCGGGUGGUCCAGAAGGGUGCGGGGUAUGGGGAACCUAGAGCCAGCUUCAGAGAACGGAGGCAAUCCAAGGCGGACAGCCACACACCUUCCUUCUUCGGUAAGCGCUUCAACAUUCUGGACCCAUCGUUCAUUGCAAUCUUAGCCCAGUGCUGGUGCCCAGCGCUAGCCUCAGGAGGUAGUAAAAUCUGUAAAGCUUCCUGGGACACAGCAUUAAAGCGACUGCUGCUUCCCAUGUGCCAGAGGAGGAAACUCAGAUGCCUGUCCUGCCUGUCUGUGAGCAUGGUGGUCAGCAAGGUCCCCGGCGCUGUUCCUAGGCCAUGCAUCCCUGAGGACAAACCAAGCUCUCCUCGGGUCAAAGGUCCCGUGACUGUGGAGGUGGUGUGAGGCUGCCUCUUCCGUGCCACUGGACGGUGUAGCUAAAUACUGGUGUCCUGGGAGAGGCAGAGGCCAAGGGGACCUGUCCUGAGCCCGAGUCCCCUCUAGCUGUCGAGGCUCCAUGCUGUCUUCAGAGUCUCUGGCUUCCCCAAGUCAUGAACCAAAGUGCUCCCCGGUCCCUGCAGAGUGUCUCAUGCCAGGGCCCAGCAGGCUGGGACUUAUCCACACAAGCUGGGUGGAGUGAGAGAGUCCAUCCCUGUGCAUCUCAGGGCUCCUCUCCAAGAGCACAGGGUUAUUACAAAAUGCGGUAAGAAAAGAAGCCAGACCACCCACCUGAUCAAUAAAAGUGGCAAAUGAAGUCACUUUGAGAAGUUCGACAUGCCGCUGACUGCCGCGGACAGAGCCCAGAUGUGCUUGGUUCAAGGCUUUGGCAGGAGGUUGGGUGUGAAGGGGAAGGAAGGAGCACCAGUCAGGUGGAAUCUUGGGAUCUUGAGUUUUUAAGGGAGGUCACCCUCCCUGAGUAUUAGCUGCACUGGGGACUGCCUCUCGUUCUCCAGUACGCCCUCUUCCCUCCUCACCGAUGGAGCCUCAGGCUUACUGGAGAAACUUGGCUAAAUGCCACGUGCUCCCCUCCCCUUCACACUGGGGCAGGUAGUUAAGGCGUGUAAAGGGUGGUACUGGGAGAAACCUGCAGGAAAGGGCACUUUAAAAGCAGGUCCGGCUGAUGUGUAGAACACUCAAGGCUCCCUGCUCUCUUCCUGCCUGGAAUCAUGAGAGCAUGAAGAUGAGGACUUGCAGACAUGAGGGCAGAGCAGAAAGGAGCCUGAGUCUGGGCUGACGAGCCAGCCCUGGGCAGCUCAUGUCAGCUUUUCAUAUGUGAGGCGAUAAAAUACAGCCCUCUCCUGUUGGGGUUUCUGACAGGUUGUGUGCAAGUACACUGCUGUGCGUGUUAUGAUUCUUCUCGGUAUCAAGAAACAAAGCUUGUAAUGCG